rnacentral:rRNA from 1 species
UCAUGGCUUAAACUAAAUGCCGGAUAAUACGAACAACAGUUUAAAAUUCAAAGAUCUUGGCGGUACCUUAUCCUAUCAGGGGAACCUGUCCCUCAAUUCGAUAAUCCACGACAAUCUUUCCCAGUCUUGAAUCUCAGUCUGUGUACUGCCGUCGUCAGUAUACCUUUAAAAGAUAGUAUACAACUAUAGUAUAACUAUAGACGUCAGGUCAAAGUGCAACUAAUGACUGGGCGGAGAUGGGUUACACCCUAUACUAUAGCCACCGCAACCAUACUAAUUCAUGGUUAAAAGCUGAACUUGAUAGUAAUUAAUAAUAAUAAAAUCACAUGAAAUGGAAUCUAAGGUAUGCACACAUCGCCCGUCACUCUCGUCUAAAGAUG